rnacentral:misc_RNA from 1 species
UGUAUUUAUUUAUUUAUUUUUUUCAUGAAAUUUUGUACUCCGUCAAUUAAUGGGAAUGAAUUAUCAUUUUUGUUUAAAAAAAAUAUAGUAUUGAGUAUUAAUCAAAUAACAUUUGAGAACAUAAACACAAUUUUAUCAACUAAAGGAGAACUCUCAAGUCAUAUAUAUAGUAAUUGCUUGCUAGAAUAGGCAAGCAUUAAGCUAUUUGUACCCAUUUGCAAGCUAGGAGGUGACGACAAUGAGGCGUCAGUCCAAUUCCAAAUGCAAUAAGCAUGCAUAAAUAUACCCUUAAAUGGUAGCCAUUUUUAAUAACCAUUUACUAUCCUAAUUUCAAGAUCAAAUUUCAACAAAAUCCUAAGGUCAAAUUUCAAGAUCAACACAGUUAUUGUUAUGUUAUCUUAAGAGGGAAUGGGAGGGUCACCCCUAUCAUGCAACCCAAUUAAACCUGGGUGCAACCCAACUCCAGUUCUAAGUGCAAAGACUCAAAAUUGAACUGAAGGGUACCUCUUAAUUGCAGGUAAUAUUUGGUAUGAUGUAAUUAAAGUUGUAAUGUAAUCAUGAUUACAUUA